rnacentral:rRNA from 1 species
ACUCCUACGGGAGGCAGCAGUGGGGAAUAUUGGACAAUGGGCGAAAGCCUGAUCCAGCCAUGCCGCGUGUGUGAAGAAGGUCUUCGGAUUGUAAAGCACUUUAAGUUGGGAGGAAGGGUUGUAGAGUAAUACUCUGCAAUUUUGACGUUACCGACAGAAUAAGCACCGGCUAACUCUGUGCCAGCAGCCGCGGUAAU